rnacentral:rRNA from 1 species
ACGAACGCUGGCGGCGUGCCUAAUACAUGCAAGUCGAACGGUCUUUCUAUGGAAGCUUGCUUCCACUGAGAAGAUAGUGGCGAACGGGUGAGUAACACGUGGGUAACCUGCCCAUAAGAGGGGGAUAACAUCCGGAAACGGGUGCUAAUACCGCAUAGUUUUCUUGAUCGCAUGAUCGGGAAAGGAAAGACGGCCUUUGUGCUGUCGCUUAUGGAUGGACCCGCGGCGUAUUAGUUAGUUGGUGAGGUAACGGCUCACCAAGACGAUGAUACGUAGCCGACCUGAGAGGGUGAUCGGCCACAUUGGGACUGAGACACGGCCCAAACUCCUACGGGAGGCAGCAGUAGGGAAUCUUCCGCAAUGGACGAAAGUCUGACGGAGCAACGCCGCGUGAGUGAAGAAGGUUCUCCGGAUCGUAAAACUCUGUUGUCAGAGAAGAACAAGUUGGAGAGUAACUGCUCCAGCCUUGACGGUAUCUGACCAGAAAGCCACGGCUAACUACGUGCCAGCCGCUGC